rnacentral:rRNA from 1 species
ACACCAGCACCUCAAGUGGUCAGGAGGAUUAUUGGGCCUAAAGCAUCCGUAGCCUGUUCUAUAAGUUUCCGGUUAAAUCCAUUAGCUCAACUAAUGGGCUGCCGAAAAUACUGUAGAACUAGGGAGUGGGAGAGGUAGACGGUAUUCGGUAGGAAGGGGUAAAAUCCUUUGAUCUAUUGAGGACCACCUGUGGCGAAGGCGGUCUACCAGAACACGUUCGACGGUGAGGGAUGAAAGCUGGGGGAGCAAACCGGAUUAGAAACCCUGGUAGUCC